GACGAACGCUAGCGGCGUGCCUAAUGUAUGCAAGUCGAACGGCCCGCAAGGGUAGUGGCGAACGGUUGAGUAACACGUAGACAACCUACCCGGCGAGGGGAGUACCCGCCAGAAACGGACGGCUAAUACCGCGUACGGUCGUCUGACGAGGGGUUGGGACGAAGAAAGCAGUGAUGCGCGCUGGGAGGGGUCUGCGGCCGAUUAGCUGGUUGGUGGGGUAGUGGCCCACCAAGGCGAUGAUCGGUAGCUGGCUGAGAGGAUGAUCAGCCACACGGGGACUGAGACACGGCCCCGACUCCUACGGGAGGCAGCAGCAAGGAAUUUUCCGUCAAUGGGGGCAACCCUGACGGAGCAACGCCGCGUGACGGAUGACGCCUCUUGGGG
rnacentral:rRNA from 1 species